rnacentral:lncRNA from 1 species
UGGGGGUGGGGUUGGGGCCUAUGCCCUUAGCUCCAUGAUGUCCCUUUUUGCCCCUUGUAUCGCAGUUCCCAUUUACAAAGACUAGAUUAAAAAUGUCAGGGCUAUGCCCUUUUAGCUCAAUGAUGUCUCUUUUUCUGUACCAGACCUAUCUUCAUCCACAUGUAACUCGACUUCGUAUGAUUUUCAGUUUACGAAACAUGCCACUAUGUGCUUCCGUAUGUCAUGCUCGCUUUUUUUUCAAACGUCAUGCUCACGGGGGGUGGUCUCCUGCAUUUUUUGCUUUUUUUCUAGCUGAUCCAUAUUUAUAAGAGGUGGAAGUAAACCACCUCACUUUUCUGGCUGCUCCAUGUCGAUCUUCUCGCGACAUGUUCG